CCUAAGUGUACCUUCAGACCCUAGGCCGCUCCUUGCGAGAGUCGAGCCCUUUGAGGUGGCUUAGGUGGUCCCCCCCUUCCCGAGUUGACAGCAUCACCCCGUCCCGUAUCUUCCUCCCCUCUGUUUUGUUUUUCAUCUCUCCCUCCUGUCUCCAGUCUGCGACGACUGGCCCCAUAGAUCCUCGCUGAAGGUGAGGAGCUGAGUCGCUGGCGAGUGGGCCGCUCCGAAAUGGCCGCUGCCUUGAGCUGUCUAAAAUGGCGGUCUCGUGCUCGGCUGGGGACCGCGACUCUGCUCUGCAGCCCAGCCGCGGCCGAGACGGUAGGCCGAUGGAGAUGGAGUAGAAAGGUGUCGGGUGUUGACACGACUUCAUUGUCGACAGCACCGGCGACAUCCCGAGCGAGAGGAAUCCUGAGGCAAUGGCUUCUGGUUACUCCCAUUCCCACCCUAUUCCUUAAUUUUAUUCUUUUGAAGAGUCUGCAUUUCAAGCUAUCACGUUGGAGAGAGUGAUUACAGAAAGAAGUGUUCAUUGUUUCAGGUAUCUUACCUACUAGCUGUUAACAGGAGAGUCAUUUUGAUUGAAGAUCUAAAAGGAUAGGAUAGAGCUUAAUCCUUAACCACAUGACAUUUGAACCAACAGGAGCAAUCUCUAUACCUUUACAAAUUCAAACCUUAGGAAACAGUAUUCAUUAUUGGUCUGAAGUUUGCAUUAUCCUUGAGUUUUCUUUUAUUACAUGAGAGAAAAAUCUAUUAAAGUGAGUUUAUAUUUUCUUAAGAUUCUGAUCUUGGCACAAUAAUAGGCAGAGUAACUAGUAACAAUGUGCAUUACUUGAAAUAAAUCUCAACUCAGAUAAUGUAAGUAUAUAUUAUAUGUACUUUUAAGUCUGGAGAAAUAGUGUCUACUUUUUGGUCUGCAGUUUACUUUUUAUUGUUAACACAUAAUGCUUAGAAUACAGUAGAGCUCUCUGUCUUGGAGCAGCAUGUAUUUUUAAUACAGCUUAUUAGAAUUGUUGAAGCUCUGAAGGGAGACUUCUGAUAUAUAAUAUUAUCAACAUUGAGUACAUCUAGUGGCAAUAGUUAUCAGAAAGAUAAAAGAAACUUUAAAAUAUUAUACAUUGUGAGAUAAGGUUGGUAAAUUAUAGCCCACGAAGUCUGUUUUGGUACAUAAAAGUUUUAUUGGAACACCCACCCAUUCUUUGAUCUGUUGUUAUGCUCUAACUACAGAGUUGAAUAGUUUCAACAGAGCCUGUGUGACCAACAAAGCAAGCAUUUUUACUGUAUGGUCUUAAAUAUUUAUUAACCCUUGCCAUGGAAGAUGUUUCUAAAGAACCCUUCCUUUAAAAUGUACACAUAAACUCAUUAUUAUUUCUUACCCUACUAGUUUCCAGAUUCUUUUAGAAUGUUAAUAUUCUCUGCAUGUUUUGAGAAAAAAAAUGACACUACC
ensembl:lncRNA